AACAGAAAACAAUUUUAGGUCACACCUGUUCAACAAUAAAUCAUCUGCAGUCGUCCAUGUCUCACAGUCAAAAGGUUCAAAGCUUUUUUUCCCAGUUUUCGCAUGUAAUUAUAGUGAUAGUGUGUUGGGUGCAGAGCGCUACCAAAUGUGAGUGGACUAUCCUAUACUACAAUUAGCACUGUAUUUUCUUAUUAUUUGAAGCAUUGGAGAUUACUGCAAACUGUCUUAAAAUCACUGUGUAACUGCAUAAUAUUUGUUUUGCCCCUCAAGUCCCUCCUGUCACCUCUUUUCAUCUCUCUCUUCCAUAGUUUUGUGUUUUUUUGUCUCUUUCUUCUGUCACUUUCUGCAGGUAUUUCUGCCUCUGGAGCUGUAGAGUCUGACUGUGAUGGCUAUAUAUCCAUUCUCGGGGGAUUUAAAAGAACGAUUUUUAACCAUGGCUGUUUUAAACUUCAAAAUAGUCACAUUUUUAUAGCGGAAUUAAAAUGGACUUGGUUGUUAAUCGUUCUCUUCUCGCAGAAUCGGGUGACCUAUCGACAUGACAGCCGACGUGCGUUGCCAUUGGCCGUGAUCUACGGAGGAGGAGGAGGAGAAUCGGCGGAGAAACAACACCAGAAAACGAGCAAACAUUUUAAUGGAGUCGUCGCUUUGUUGCCUCGGGUUGGCAGCACUGUGAGAACCCUCAUUACCAACGAAGCCCGGAUGUUAAAACAAGCUUUGGAGCCGUUUCUUGUCGAAGACGAGUGAGGCUGGACGCUGAACACACCUGCGGCACGAAGGUCUGUUUGUUCAGCUGCUGCAGCCUGGACAGAGACACCAGCUCCCACCUCACAGACCAAAGAGGUGUCACCACUGCGUCCAUGAGUGCAGAGUCCUCGUACAAUAAAGUUGUUCCACAGUCCACAAAAGGUUAAUUCUCACAAACAAAUGGAUUGAUUGAAGGUGAGAAAAUAGUUUUAUUUCUUCUGUCUCCCUCUUGUUUUCUGUGCCUGUUGCUCUCUUCUUCCCUCACCCUCUCUCCCCCUCUUGUUCUCUUUCUGUCCCUCUCUCUUAUUCUGUUCUUGUUGUUGUCUCUCCCUCUUUCUGUCCUGCUUGCUCUCACUGUUUCUCUCUCUCUCCCCUUCUAUUUUCUCCAUCUCACUGUCUCUCCUGUCAGUC